rnacentral:rRNA from 1 species
AUCGAUGAAGAACGCAGCGAAAUGCGAUAAGUAAUGUGAAUUGCAGAAUUCAGUGAAUCAUCGAAUCUUUGAACGCACAUUGCGCCCGUCAGUAUUCUGGCGGGCAUGCCUGUUCGAGCGUCAUUACGCCCCUCAAGUCCCCUGUGGACUUGGUGUUGGGGAUCGGCGAGGCUGGUUUUCCAGCACAGCCGUCCCUCAAAUCAAUUGGCGGUCUCGCCGUGGCCCUCCUCUGCGCAGUAGUAAAACACUCGCAACAGGAGCCCGGCGCGGUCCACUGCCGUAAAACCCCCCAACUUUUUAUAGUUGACCUCGAAUCAGGUAGGACUACCCGCUGAACUUAAGCAUAUCAAUAAGCGGAGGAAAAGAAACCAACAGGGAUUGCCCCAGUAACGGCGAGUGAAGCGGCAACAGCUCAAAUUUGAAAUCUGGUCCCCAGGGCCCGAGUUGUAAUUUGCAGAGGAUGCUUUUGGUGAGGUGCCUUCCGAGUUCCCUGGAACGGGACGCCAUAGAGGGUGAGAGCCCCGUCUGGUUGGAUACCGAGCCUCUGUAAAGCUCCUUCGACGAGUCGAGUAGUUUGGGAAUGCUGCUCUAAAUGGGAGGUAUAUGUCUUCUAAAGCUAAAUAUUGGCCAGAGACCGAUAGCGCACAAGUAGAGUGAUCGAAAGAUGAAAAGCACUUUGAAAAGAGGGUUAAAUAGUACGUGAAAUUGUUGAAAGGGAAGCACUUAUGACCAGACUUGGCCCCGGUGAAUCAUCCAGCGGUUCCCGUUGGUGCACUUUGCCGGGGUUCAGGCCAGCAUCAGUUCGCUCCGGGGGAUAAAGGCUUUGGGAAUGUGGCUCCCUCGGGAGUGUUAUAGCCCAUUGCGCAAUACCCUGUGGCGGGCUGAGGUUCGCGCUUUAUGCAAGGAUGCUGGCAUAAUGGUCAUCAGUGACCCGUCUUGAAACACGG